rnacentral:rRNA from 1 species
UGUUUAAUUAGAACGAAGCAUUGCGAUGGUCACUGGUCGGUGUUGACGCAAUGUGAUUUCUGCCCAGUGCUCUGAACGUCAAAGUGAAGAGAUUCAUCAAAACGCGGGUAAACGGCGGGAGUAACUAUGACUAUCUUCUUGGGACGUAAGUCUGUAG